rnacentral:rRNA from 1 species
AUUGAACGCUGGCGGCAGGCCUAACACAUGCAAGUCGAACGGUAACAGGAAGAAGCUUGCUUCUUUGCUGACGAGUGGCGGACGGGUGAGUAAUGUCUGGGAAACUGCCUGAUGGAGGGGGAUAACUACUGGAAACGGUAGCUAAUACCGCAUAACGUCGCAAGACCAAAGAGGGGGACCUUCGAGCCUCUUGCCAUCGGAUGUGCCCAGAUGGGAUUAGCUAGUAGGUGGGGUAACGGCUCACCUAGGCGACGAUCCCUAGCUGGUCUGAGAGGAUGACCAGCCACACUGGAACUGAGACACGGUCCAGACUCCUACGGGAGGCAGCAGUGGGGAAUAUUGCACAAUGGGCGCAAGCCUGAUGCAGCCAUGCCGCGUGUAUGAAGAAGGCCUUCGGGUUGUAAAGUACUUUCAGCGGGGAGGAAGGGAGUAAAGUUAAUACCUUUGCUCAUUGACGUUACCCGCAGAAGAAGCACCGGCUAACUCCGUG